GCCAGGAUGGUCUAAUCGGUUCAGGCGUCGCCCCGGUCAGGCGAAGGUUGCGGGUUCAAUCCCCGCUCCUGGCC
rfam:Ixodes scapularis strain Wikel colony gcontig_1108378677710, whole genome shotgun sequence.